rnacentral:rRNA from 1 species
UUUGACCCCCCGAAACUAAGCGAGCUACUUAAAAACAGCCUUUUUAGGGCCAACCCAUCUCUGUUGCAAAAGAGUGGGAAGAUUUUCAAGUAGAGGUGAUAAACCUACCGAGCUUAGAGAUAGCUGGUUAUUCAGGAAAAGGAUUUUAGUCCAACCCUAAGUUUUUAACUACACAAAAAUAUUCUAUUAAACUUAGGAGCCAUUCAAAUAAGGUACAGCCUAUUUGAAACAGGAUACAACCUAGAGUACCGGGUAAUGAAUUUAAACUGUGAUCAAGUGGGCCUAAAAGCAGCCAACUUUUAAAUAGCGUUAAAGCUUCAUCACUUCACUAAAAAAAUUCCAACUUCAACACAAAACCCUUCACUUUUACUGAAUGAUUUUAUACUCCUAUAAAAUACAUCAUGCUAGAACUAGUAACAAGAAACAGAUUUUUCUCUUAAAUGUAAGCAUAGGCCAAUAUGAACAACUCAAUGGCAUUUACCGCCAAAAAUCAUUAGUGGUAACAAAUUUCAAGAAAACCCCACUAUAGACUUGCGUCAACCUUACACCAGAACAUUUCAGAAAGAUUAAAAGAAAAGGAAGGAACUCGGCAAAUCAUAAUCUCGCCUGUUUACCAAAAACAUCGCCUCUUGAWAUUUCUAUAAGAGGUCCAGCCUGCCCAGUGACUUAGUUAAACGGCCGCGGUACCCUAACCGUGCGAAGGUAGCGCAAUCACUUGUUCUUUAAAUAAGGACUAGUAUGAACGGCAUCACGAAGAUUAUACUGUCUCCCAUUUCCAAUCAGUGAAACUGAUCUUCCCGUGAAGAAGCGGGAAUACACCUAUAAGACGAGAAGACCCCAUGGAGCUUUAAACUCAAUAACAACUGUUUCUCUCCAUACCAUAAUAAUUUAACAGAAAUGAUUAUUAGUUUUCGGUUGGGGUGACCACGGAGCAAAACAAAACCUCCACGAUGAAAAGAACAACCAUUCUUUAUCUAAGAGUCACUACUCUAUGAAUCAAUAAACUGACAUUCCUUGAUCCAAAAUUUUUGAUCAACGAACCAAGUUACCCUGGGGAUAACAGCGCAAUCCAUUUUAAGAGCCCCUAUCGACAAAUGGGUUUACGACCUCGAUGUUGGAUCAGGGUAUCCCAGUGGUGCAGCCGCUACUAACGGUUCGUUUGUUCAACGAUUAAAACCCU